UGUGCUUUCACACACACAUCUUGAUCUUAAGUUUUUUGCUCACAGGGAGCUGAAAGAAAAACAAACUAAAGGAAAGUGAAGUAGCUGGUUUCUACUACUGAGGUUUCGAUUAUUCUCUUCCAGUCUACAGCUUCCAGUGUCUCCAACUAAAUAGUUCUUGCAUGCCAUUUACUUUUUUCAUAUCUAACUAGCUCAGUAACCAGUUAACUAUUUACCAACUUAACAGCUCCCAAAACAAAAUAACAAUUAUGAUUUCAAGUUAAUCAUAGUCAAAGGCUUAAAAUCUUCUCAAAGCUACAACUUUGGAUUGACCAUGGUCCAGAUAAAUCCAAUAAAUAUACUGGAUGUAUUCAGUAUUGUGGCCAACAAAAGGCAAAGGGUUGUAUGAAAUAAAACUGGCUAAAAGAUGCAUUGCAUCAGAUAUGUAUCAGUAAUAUUUUCUGAAAGAUUAAUAUUGCUUUGUAAUAAUUCUGAAGGUCCUCAGAUGCCUACAUUUUUUCUGCCCUUAAAAUGUAAAAAUCUUUCUGCUGUUGAAAGUGCAAGCAUUCCUCAGGCUGUUAAAGGACUUUUGGAACAUAUGACUUCAAAUAAGAACUGUUUGUCAAAUCUUUUAUAAGAACUUAGGGAAAACUUUUUGCAAAAUUCGCAUUCCUGAACAGAACUAAGAUAAUUUUGCCUACAUUGUAUUCUUCACUACUGUCAGUGGGAACCAGGUAAUAUAUGCAGAGGGUCACCACUCCCAGACUGCCAGAGAUGUAACUCAAGAGACUUCUAUUUUGUGGGUGAAAAGGGAAAAAGGCUAUACUUCAAUGAUUCUUUAAUGAAAUAAUAAU